rnacentral:rRNA from 1 species
GAGUUUGAUCAUGGCUCAGAUUGAACGCUGGCGGCAUGCUUUACACAUGCAAGUCGAACGGCAGCACGGGGUUUACCCUGGUGGCGAGUGGCGAACGGGUGAGGAAUACAUCGGAACGUGUCUAUAAGUGGGGGAGUAACGCAUCGAAAGGUAGUGCUAAUACCGCAUAAUCUCUCAGGAGAAAAGACAGGGGGUCGGCAAGACCUUGCGCUUUAGGAGCGGCCGAUGCCUGAUUAGCUUGUUGGUAAGGUAAAAGCUUACCAAGGCUUCGAUCAGUAGCUGGUCUGAGAGGACGACCAGCCACACUGGGACUGAGACACGGCCCAGACUCCUACGGGAGGCAGCAGUGGGGAAUUUUGGACAAUGGGGGAAACCCUGAUCCAGCCAUGCCGCGUGAGUGAAGAAGGCC